rnacentral:rRNA from 1 species
UACGGAGGGUGCAAGCGUUAUCCGGAUUCACUGGGUUUAAAGGGUGCGUAGGUGGGUUGGUAAGUCAGUGGUGAAAUCUCCGAGCUUAACUUGGAAACUGCCAUUGAUACUAUUAAUCUUGAAUAUUGUGGAGGUCAGCGGAAUAUGUCAUGUAGCGGUGAAAUGCUUAGAGAUGACAUAGAACACCAAUUGCGAAGGCAGCUGGCUACACAUAUAUUGACACUGAGGCACGGAAGCGUGGGGAUCAAACAGG